rnacentral:tRNA from 1 species
UGGGGAUAUAGCUCAGUUGGUAGAGUGCUUGCCUAGCGUGCACAAGGCCCUGGGUUCAAUCCCCAGCACAA